UACGUAGGUGACAAGCGUUGUCCGGAUUUACUGGGCGAAGAGCGCGCAGGCGGUCGUUCAAGUCGAGUGUGAAAGCCCCGGCUCCAACUGGGGAGGGUCAUUCGAUACUGAUCGACUCGAAGGCAGGAGAGGGUAGUGGAAUUCCCGGUGUAGUGGUGAAAUGCGUAGAUAUCGGGAGGAACACCAGUGGCGAAGGCGACUACCUGGCCUGUUCUUGACGCUGAGGCGCGAAAGCUAGGGGAGCAAACGGGGAUUA
rnacentral:rRNA from 1 species